CUUCUCACGUUAUUGUCUCUCAUUGAUGCAUCAAUAUUAACAGGUGGGGUAAGCGAUUCUAGAGAAAUCCAACUCUCCUGCUACUAUAGCUAACAUCACAACAACAGUCUGUCUUGAAGAACUAGAAAAUUGCAUUGUUCAAAUACAGAACACCAAUAUCCAAUGUGACUACUGUGGACUCUUAAAGGGCCAGUUCAGCACCAUAAAAGAAACAGACAAACAAGCUAUAAAAAUUCUGAGCUGACUGUGAGCCAAAUUUCCCCUUGGGGACAAUACAGUUAAGCUGUAGUUGAAGUGUAAGGUGCAAUAAAACCAUAACAAUCUGCAUGACUACACACCACAAAGAACUGAGAAAUGGGAGCAUCCAUUUGGGCUGAGGCACCCCCUUUGGAGUUAAGCUUCUGGACCUGAGUGGGCGGGACAGGCUUGUGGGACUGGCCAGUGGCGCGAUACAUGGCCUGGACCCACAAGAUGCGGUCCUGCUCAUCAUCGCUGGCAAACAUCACAGUGUCGCCUUCCUUCACUGCAUUGAAGAAGGCCCUGCCACCAUCCAAGCCUGAGACAACAGGAUGUUAAAGCUCCUUUUAUCUUGUGUUAUAUUGUAAUGUCAUCAUCAUAUUGUAUUUUAUUUUUUCUUUCAUUACUGUUUUAAUGUUUUAUU